CCUACGGGAGGCAGCAGUGGGGAAUAUUGGACAAUGGGCGAAAGCCUGAUCCAGCAAUGCCGCGUGAGUGAUGAAGGCCUUAGGGUUGUAAAGCUCUUUUACCAGGGAUAAUAAUGACAGUACCUGGAGAAUAAGCUCCGGCUAACUCCGUGCCAGCAGCCGCGGUAAUACGGAGGGAGCUAGCGUUGUUCGGAAUUACUGGGCGUAAAGCGUACGUAGGCGGUUAUUCAAGUCAGAGGUGAAAGCCUGGAGCUCAACUCCAGAACUGCCUUUGAAACUAGAUAGCUAGAAUCACGGAGAGGUUAGUGGAAUUCCGAGUGUAGAGGUGAAAUUCGUAGAUAUUCGGAAGAACACCAGUGGCGAAGGCGACUAACUGGACGUGUAUUGACGCUGAGGUACGAAAGCGUGGGGAGCAAACAGGAUUAGAUACCCUGGUAGUCCACGCCGUAAACGAUGAUAACCUAGCUGUUCGGUCUCUACGAGACUGAGUGGCGCAGCUACGACAUUAAGUUAUCCGUCCGUCGGGUAGGUACGGUCGCGAGAAUUAAACUAACAAAUAGUAAGUUAGACGGCGUGAGACGUGCCGAACGGACGACGACGAGGGAGGUAGG
rnacentral:rRNA from 1 species